UACGAAGGGGGCUAGCGUUGCUCGGAAUCACUGGGCGUAAAGCGCACGUAGGCGGAUCUUUAAGUCAGGGGUGAAAUCCUGGAGCUCAACUCCAGAACUGCCUUUGAUACUGGUGAGCUUGAGUCCGGAAGAGGUGAGUGGAACUGCGAGUGUAGAGGUGAAAUUCGUAGAUAUUCGCAAGAACACCAGUGGCGAAGGCGGCUCACUGGUCCGGUACUGACGCUGAGGUGCGAAAGCGUGGGGAGCAAACAGG
rnacentral:rRNA from 1 species